rnacentral:rRNA from 1 species
CAAGCGUUGUUCGGAAUUACUGGGCGUAAAGGGUUCGUAGGUGGCCCGCUAAGUCAGACGUGAAAUCCCUCAGCUCAACUGGGGAACUGCGUCUGAGACUGGCAGGCUCGAGUGCAGGAGAGGAACGCGGAAUUCCAGGUGUAGCGGUGAAAUGCGUAGAUAUCUGGAGGAACACCGGUGGCGAAGGCGGCGUUCUGGACUGUUACUGACACUGAGGAACGAAAGCCAGGGGAGCAAACGGG